UACGUAGGUGGCAAGCGUUGUCCGGAUUUACUGGGCGUAAAGAGUGCGCAGGCGGUCGCUCAAGUCGCGUGUGAAAGCCCCCGGCUCAACUGGGGAGGGUCACGCGAUACUGAUCGACUGGAAGGCAGGAGAGGGUAGUGGAAUUCCCGGUGUAGUGGUGAAAUGCGUAGAUAUCGGGAGGAACACCAGUGGCGAAGGCGACUACCUGGCCUGUUCUUGACGCUGAGGCGCGAAAGCUAGGGGAGCAAACGGG
rnacentral:rRNA from 1 species